rnacentral:rRNA from 1 species
UACGGGGGAGCAAGCGUUGUUCGGAUUUACUGGCGUAAAGGGCGCGUAGGCGGCCACCGCAAGUCGACUGUGAAAUCUCCGGGCUUAACCCCGGAAAGGUCAGCCGAUACUGCGGGCUAGAGUGCAGAAGGGGCAAGCUGGAAUUCUCGGUGGUAGCGGUGAAAUGCGUAGAUAUCGAGAGGAACACCUGCGGCGAAGGCGGGUUGCUGGGCUGACACUGACGCUGAGGCGCGAAAGCUAGGGGGAGCGAACGGG